CAGUCGAGCGGUAACGGGGUAGCUUGCUACCCGCUGANNNNCGGCGGACGGGUGAGUAAUGCAUAGGAAUCUGCCCGAUAGUGGGGGAUAACCUGGGGAAACCCAGGCUAAUACCGCAUAAGUCCUACGGGAGAAAGGGGGCUCCGGCUCCCGCUAUUGGAUGAGCCUAUGUCGGAUUAGCUAGUUGGUGAGGUAAUGGCUCACCAAGGCAACGAUCCGUAGCUGGUCUGAGAGGAUGAUCAGCCACAUCGGGACUGAGACACGGCCCGAACUCCUACGGGAGGCAGCAGUGGGGAAUAUUGGACAAUGGGCGAAAGCCUGAUCCAGCCAUGCCGCAUGUGUGAAGAAGGCCCUCGGGUUGUAAAGCACUUUCAGCGAGGAAGAACGCCUAGUGGUUAAUACCCAUUAGGAAAGACAUCACUCGCAGGAGAAGCACCGGCUAACUCCGUGCCAGCAGCCGCGGUAAUACGGAGGGUGCAAGCGUUAAUCGGAAUUACUGGGCGUAAAGCGCGCGUAGGUGGCUUGAUAAGCCGGUUGUGAAAGCCCCGGGCUCAACCUGGGAACGGCAUCCGGAACUGUCAAGCUAGAGUGCAGGAGAGGAAGGUAGAAUUCCCGGUGUAGCGGUGAAAUGCGUAGAGAUCGGGAGGAAUACCAGUGGCGAAGGCGGCCUUCUGGACUGACACUGACACUGAGGUGCGAAAGCGUGGGUAGCAAACAGGAUUAGAUACCCUGGUAGUCCACGCCGUAAACGAUGUCGACCAGCCGUUGGGUGCCUAGCGCACUUUGUGGCGAAGUUAACGCGAUAAGUCGACCGCCUGGGGAGUACGGCCGCAAGGUUAAAACUCAAAUGAAUUGACGGGGGCCCGCACAAGCGGUGGAGCAUGUGGUUUAAUUCGAUGCAACGCGAAGAACCUUACCUACUCUUGACAUCCUGCGAACUUGUG
rnacentral:rRNA from 1 species